AACGUGGGUAACCUGCCUUAUAGUGGGGGAUAGCCUUUCGAAAGGAAGAUUAAUACCGCAUAAGAUUGUAGUAUCGCAUGAUAUAGCAAUUAAAGGAGCAAUUCGCUGUAAGAUGGACCCGCGUCGCAUUAGCUAGUUGGUGAGGUAAUGGCUCACCAAGGCGACGAUGCGUAGCCGACCUGAGAGGGUGAUCGGCCACAUUGGGACUGAGACACGGCCCAGACUCCUACGGGAGGCAGCAUG
rnacentral:rRNA from 1 species